GAGCUCGUAUGUCUUUUCCCUAGUUUUAAGGCUUUACCUUUUCUAGCUAUCAAAUACCAAACUCUAUUUUUAGUAUUUAAAUCCCGGGGAGCCUCUGCUUUAUUUACAUUUUCAUUAAGUUUUAAUGGAAAAACUGUAACAACAAUUCAUAACUCGGCUCUACUUGUCGGGUUAUGAAGUCUUAGUUACUUGAUGUCGAGAAAUCAUCUCUCAUUGUGAUGGGAGGAAGCAGUUGUUACUAUUGGUUGGCUAUGCGCAGCUUUGGUCGGGAAAUUCACGUUUUUCUCCAGCUUUAGUUUCCGAAAACUUUUCUCUCGUCCGUCGGCUUUAGUUUCCGAAGAUUUUUCUUUCGUCCGUCAGCUUAACUUCCGUUAUUUGGGAUUUGUAUUUCACCUUAGUUUCA